CAGCAGCCGCGGUAAUACGUAGGUGGCAAGCGUUGUCCGGAAUUAUUGGGCGUAAAGGGCUCGCAGGCGGUUUCUUAAGUCUGAUGUGAGAGCCCCCGGCUCAACCGGGGAGGGUCAUUGGAAACUGGGAAACUUGAGUGCAGAAGAGGAGAGUGGAAUUCCACGUGUAGCGGUGAAAUGCGUAGAGAUGUGGAGGAACACCAGUGGCGAAGGCGACUCUCUGGUCUGUGACUGACGCUGAGGAGCGAAAGCGUGGGGAGCGAACAGGAUUAGAUACCCGUGUAGUCCCUGUCUCUUAUAC
rnacentral:rRNA from 1 species